rnacentral:rRNA from 1 species
UACGUAGGGUGCAAGCGUUAAUCGGAAUUACUGGGCGUAAAGCGUGCGCAGGCGGUUCGCUAAGACAGAUGUGAAAUCCCCGGGCUUAACCUGGGAACUGCAUUUGUGACUGGCGGGCUAGAGUAUGGCAGAGGGGGGUAGAAUUCCACGUGGAGCAGUGAAAUGCGUAGAGAUGUGGAGGAAUACCGAUGGCGAAGGCAGCCCCCUGGGCCAAUACUGACGCUCAUGCACGAAAGCGUGGGGAGCAAACAGG